UUCUCAUUCUCUCUCUGUGUCUCUUUCUGUUCAUCUUCAUUUUCUCUGGUUUUUAUCUUCAAAUCUUCAUGUUUACAUGGUAUCAGAGUAGGAAAAUCUUUCGAUCCUUCUCUGUUAUGUGUUAUCGAUACUUGAUGAAGCUUUUGCUGAAGUUUUUCUUCGGUUAUCUGAGAAAAAUACUGUUCGUAUAUUUUUUUUUCGAUGAAUGUUAAUCGGUUAAUCGGGAAUUUUCUGACUGUUUCAGGCUCCGAUCCUGUAUCAGUAGAUGUUUCGGGUGAUUUUUCGACAUCUCCGGUUUUGUUCCGACGAGUUCUUCAAAUUUUAGGGUUUUCCGACUUUCGGACCUAGAGUUUUGGUGUUAUCCGAUGACUUUUUCUUCGCUUGAUGGAUGUUUUGGGUAACUUUCCGGCAUCUGUGACCUUAUUUCGGUGAGUUUCAGAACCUAGGGUUUCCGGUGUUGGACCUAGGGUUUUCUCUGUUGAUUGAAUGGCGAUCUUCUCCAGUCGCGAAGAAGGAGGGUAACUCUGUCCUUAUUUUGAGUAUUGUAUGCUUUGUAUGUGACUAUCUGGUUCCCUAUGUGAGUAUCUGGUUCCGUUAUAUUUUGCUUGUCGAAACUAUUUUUCUUUCAAACUGGUUCAUUAAUCAUGGCUUCUAAUACCAAUGCUGGUACCUCCUCCUCGGUAGACUCUACCAGCCCCCUCUUUGUCUAUUCCUGUGAUGUCCAUGGGGUCUCUCUUGUCCCUACUCCCUUCUCGGGUAGUGGUUAUGGGCGUUGGAGGAGAAAAAAGAUUGUCGCAUUAUCUGCUAAAAACAAAAUCGGAUUUGUUGACGGCUCAUGUCCUCGACCAACCACUAAUGUGGCUCAACAAAGGCUGUG
rnacentral:lncRNA from 1 species